rnacentral:lncRNA from 1 species
UUUGUAGGAAAAAAAAAGUGAACUUUUCAUGGCAAACUCUAGAACACCACAGCUGGCAAUGACCAAACUAAGGUAGAAUCAAGGAGAGGCAGAUCAUAGCAUGUGGUCUCUUGAUUCCUGAAAUGGAAGAUCAGGUGAGAAUUCUCCACCUCCUGCAUCAGGUGCCCACCUAGCCUCAGCUGAGGAGGAAGAGAGCGGACUGGAGAUCUGAACAAGGGAGCUCACUACCCACAUGGCUACCAUCUUGAAGCCAGACACUGACAGGGAGUCCAUUUUAUCUCUGCACAAAAUUCACUUUAGCCUGUUGCCAGACUCCCUCUGGGGCAGUAAAUGCAGAAAGGAGAAGCUGAGGGACUCCUGGAUGAGCCAUCCCCAGAGAGCUUCUUUCAACUGAAUCUAACAUGGGCUGGCACUACAGGGCUCCCAGGAACCAGACUCUACUGCCUACAUAAAGCCCAUAUGCCAACAUGUUGCCUUCUUUCAGCAAAGAUGAUCGGUUCUCGGAAAUCAGGAAUGUCAGAGGUAACUGAUAAAAACAGCAGGCUCUUUUGCCUCCAUGUGCGUGUUUCACCUGGAAAUUAAUCGGCUACUUUGUCCCUUGGCAGGUGUAACUACAGUUUUAGAUCCUUACCGUGAUACAAUGUCCUUUACACUAACACUCCAUAAAUUACUCUUUCUUUUCAUCAUAAUAGAUGAGAUCAGGUUAAAAUGACAUUUCGAGUAAGGAAAACAAUCACACAAAACACGCCCCUUAAGUUGUUCUGCUGUGAGGAAGGACCUUCCUAUUCAUGUGGUUUGGGAUGAAUUUCAAAAUCCCACUCGUGCUUAUUCUGCUCUGCACUUUAUGUAUUCUGGAGACAAAGGAGAAUGAAAUUCUUGGAAAAAACUUUUUGAAAUCCCACUACAGGUAGCUGGUGGAUCACAGUGCUAGAAAUACCAGCAAAAGUAAUAUGUUGAUUCAUAAUGAUUUAUUCUCUGUAAUCUUGGGGGCCUAUUCUAUUAUCUCAAACCCCAAGAAAGGAACAGAAGAAGUUAGUUAUAAGUAGGAGGAAUUCCCAUACUCAUUACAUCUGCCCACAGCGUUCAGCUGUAUUUAUCAGGAUAACUUUGCUAGGUGAAACUGUGCAAUCAAACAGGAACACAGCUUUGGAGGCAAUUAAGGCAGGAGACCAGGUAAAAAUAAAGCUUUAGAAAGAAACACCAGAUAUUGAAUGCCUACUUUCAAACUGGUAGGGUAUUCUUUUUGAAAAAAAGGCACAUGUUUUUGAAAAAAAAGUAUGUAUAUGUGUUCAUGAGUGUGUCUUCCUCAAGGUAAAUGAAUAUCACUGUAGACGGAUAGAUUCCUACUUUAUAACCCCCAGUGAAUAUUAGUCAGACAGGCUGUAUUCAAGUGAAACAGUAUAAACACAGUAUUGUGGUUGGGGUUGAUUUAUAGGGAGGCAAAGGUGGUUGAUGGUUUUGUAAGGUCCAUUAACGUGUGAGUCCUCUUGCUGGAAAUCAGGAGAUAUGUGGAAUGGAGAAUAAUGUGAUUCUGUUGGCAGGUGACAAUAUUUAAGUAUUGUUACGGUUUACAAGACCCUUUCACAUAUAUUAUCUUAACAGCUCUACCUCUUAUUGUAGCACACUCAGGCAGAAAAAAAAUAUGUUAAGGCUCCCUGCAAAGAACCCCACUAACCUGAUGGCCCGCUUGGGUCCCAGACCAAUCUUUCACAAUAGCUGAAGGAGUCCUCUAACUUUGUAAAAGAGUAAAAGGGUUUGUUGAGACUGGCAGAACCCAUUCUCUGGAGUGUAUAAUUUACAGUUUACCAGUUAAUUUAAAAUUAAGUACAUGUACCAAAAAUGACAAUUAUGAUAAAGUGGCUGUGGGAUCAGCUCCAAUCCCUCUUCACCAGAGAACCGGUAAAACCCUUAGCAGCUUGAGCUCCGGCCAGAUUCUUCCCUUUCAUCGACCUGUGUCUGCACCAGUUGCUGAUCCUUUGUGUCUGCUAUUAUGUCCUUCAUCCCAAGUAAAUCACUGACUUUAGGGAGGGAAAGUACGAAAAAGGCUUAUGGAAAACUCAGAUUUUCCGAUGGAAAGUACUCAAAGUUUAGACCAAGUUCAGGAUCUUCAUAAUUAUAUAAUGAGGGUUCUAGUGCCCACUCUUUCUAAUUGACAGGAACUCUGGUUUAUGCAGUGCUGCAUGGAAAUUCAUGACUCUGUUAACCAGAAAUCUGGCAAUCCAGGCUUCACAUCCUGUUUCCCCACCCACUUGAUUGAAACUAUUUUCCAACUGGCCUCCAUUGUACUCCAAAUCACCAAAAGCUAGGACAGUGAAUGUUGUGGGAUUGUUAACAAGGUAGUCUCAACCAUGGCAUUCUGCGACAUCAUUUCUGCUGGCUUAAUCCUGAGAAUGUCCAGGAAAUACAAUAAUCCUAUUUUGUUUCCCUACAAAAAUAGUCCAUAUGUGCCAGGCCCAUGGUUCACAAUAGGAGGUAACUGAAAUCUGCUGCAGUCCAUCAGUUGAAAAGCCUGUGCCUGCUACUGUCUACAGUGAAUUUUGUUUGAAUUAAGAGAGACUCUGCCCAGGUUGGCACUUGACAUUCAGUAAAAAAAUUAUCUUGAGCUUUAUGAGUUUAGGGAACUUGUUUUAAUGAUCUGAUUUUUAGCAGAGGAGAGCUUUAGAUCAUCUAGUCUUAGGUGUUUUUGAAAUGUAAAUGUGCAGAGACAAAUCUUAUUUGUUUUUGAGUGUUAAAUGCAUUAUUGAGAACAUGAAUGUUUCCGGCCUCCGGUGGGUUUGCUUUCUUUCUUGGGCAAUAGACCAGUCCUCCGACUCCACUAUUUGCUAGAGAAAAACCAAUUUCACUUCUGGCAAUAGAGUUCUUGGACAGAUUUGAUUUUCUCUUGAUGAAAAUUAAUAUUCGGCUGGGCAUGGCGGCUCACAGCAGUAAGCCCAGCACUUUGGAAGGCUGAGAUGGGUAGAUCGCUUGAAGCCAGGAGUUUGAGACCGGCCUGGGCAACGUGUGGAAACCCCGUGUUUACUAAAAAUACAAAAAUUAGCUGGGUGUGGUGGUGGGCACCUGUAGUCCCAGCUACUUGGGAGGCUGAGCCAGAA